AAAGGGAAAGAAAGGAAACAGGGGAGUUCGAGGGGGGGAAACAAAAAGGAAAAAGAAAGAAAGGGAACAGAGAAGGAGCAAAGGGAAAACGAGAAACUGAGGAAAGGAAGAAGAGGGAUCAGGGAAGCCAGAGGAAAGGGCGACGACGGAGGGUGUAAUUACGGCCGCUGCCGUUGAAAUCGGAAGGGAAGCACCACAGAGAACAGAGAGACGCGAACGAUUGAGGGAGAAGGUAGCGUCGCCACCGUGCCUCGUCAUCGUCGCUGAAGCUUCGAUCGCUAUUGUCCCUGCUAGGUUGCCACUGACGUCGAACAGAACAGGGGAGAGGAGCACAAAUUGGAAGAGGAAAGGGAGCUCUAUUACGGGCACGUCGCCAGGAAAAGAAGAGGCGAUGUUGGUGGGGAUCGCCGCUGGUGUCAUCGCCGUGACUGGGGUUCGUGGUCGCUACUGCUGUUGGUGACGGACUAGGUCGCGUCCUAGCUACCGGAGCCGCCAUCACCGUGGCCUUGUUACUCCGGGUCAACCAUGUCUCUGCCUCUGAUGUACCUUGUCAUGCCAUAUCCGUUGGAGCUGCCGUGCUUGGAGCUUGCUAUCAGAGAAAGCAAUUUGUUGCCACCAUCUUUCAAUCUGGCCAGCAUCAUCCUCUUUGUUCCAGUCCCAAUGCCAAUUUUUUGUUUCUUAAACAUUUGUCAAUUUAUCUCCUGAGAAAUCACAAUUGGUGUUGAGGUCGUUGAUGUUGCUGCUGUUAUGCUAUAGCUAGCUGCAAGAGUUUUACUGCUGCGGGUUAGAAAUUGAUGGCUGCCGCAUCCCAAAUUUCUGUGUAUUUCGAUAAAGUGAGUGACACAGGUUUGAAGACACAAUUUGAAGCUGCGAGCGAUUAGUAGGUUUUCUUUAUGGUUUUAAUUGGUCUGGUAGAGUCCCCUCACUGAUUGUCCCUUGAGAUUUUAUUUCAUAUAGAGGGGUAGGUUUGGUAUAUUAUAUUUGAGUCUUAUUUGGUUUCUUUUGUAAAAGAAUUACUAUUAAUAUUAUUUAUGUGAUUAUUAUUACUUGUGAAUAUUUGAAUUAUGAAUUUAAUAAAUAAAAAACAAAAUUUUUCUGGAA